CCUACGGGUGACAGCAGUGAGGAAUAUUGGUCAAUGGGCGCGAGCCUGAACCAGCCAAGUAGCGUGAAGGAUGACUGCCCUAUGGGUUGUAAACUUCGUUUAUAAGGGAAUAAAGUGCGGUACGUGUGCCUUUUUGCAUGUACCUUAUGAAUAAGGAUCGGCUAACUCCGUGCCAGCAGCCGCGGUAAUACGGAGGAUCCGAGCGUUAUCCGGAUUUCUUGGGUUUAAAGGGAGCGUAGAGGGGUUGUUAAGUCAGUUGUGACAGUUUGCGGCUCAACCGUAAAAUUGCAUUUGAUACUGGCAUCCUUGAGUACAGUUGAGGUAGGCGGCAUUCGUGGUGUAGCGGU
rnacentral:rRNA from 1 species